CGAUGUUUUCUAUACUAUGAAGAAAAUUUGAUCUGAUUAGAUUAAUUCAGAUGUAAAUUUAUGUUAUACGGUGAAUGUAUCGAGUCAUAUAUUAUGCAGAAUAUAUUGAGAAAAAUGGUAAACUAAC